UCAUCACGACCUAUAGGAGAAAUUGGGUCGUGACAACACAAGACAAUAAGGAAGGCAUCAACUUCAACUAAGCAUAUAAGUGCUAAAUACCAAGUAAGAGGAAGAACAAGUGCUAACAACGUCAAAUAGAGCAUGUAAGAGUAGAUUAAGAACGAAAUAUAUCACAGGUUAUGACACUUCAAUUAAAGGCAUGGGAAGUGUUUAGAUACUCGAUACUAGUCAAAUACCACAUAUUGGCCGUGUGCCUACUCGUCACAUCGCGUACACGACUUUCACACAACACGAAUAAUACAAUCAUCUCAAAUCCUAAGGGGUGGUUUCCCUCAUGCAAAGUUAGACAAGAUACUUACCUCAAUUCGGCUAAAUGAAUACUCAAAUUAGCUUUUCCUUUACAAUUUCAUCACCGCUCGGCUCAAUCUAGCCAAAGACGACUUAAAUUCAUCAAACAAUGCAAUAGAAAAUAAUUUCAAUUAACAAAGCCAUGAUCCUACAUAAUUUUAAAAAGUCAACAAAAGUCAACUCUGGGCCCCCUGGUCAAAACCCGGGUCCAAGGGUAGGUCUUGACUAUCCAUAGCCCCGCGAGUCCAUAUAUGUAUUUUGUUUCCAAAUCCGAGUCCAAUUUGACUCUCAAAUCCCAAAUUUUCAUUUUUCAAAACUUUUGCAAAAAUCCCCAAAUUUUUCCCUUAGGUUCUCAUGAAUUUAAUAGUACAUUUAAUGUAUAAUCACGAGAUAUAAUUGAAUAUUGAUAAGAGUCACUUACCCAAUGGUUUGGUAUGAAAAUCCUUCCACAAAAUCGCCUCCUAUCAAGGCUAAGGUUCAAAACAUGGUAAAAAUGAAUCUAAGUCCCGAAAUGAAAGUCUUAAUACCACCCUUAUGCGACAUCUAGAUCGCAAAUGCGUCAAACGCGUUGCAAAAGCAAUGCUGACCAACUCUGUCAAAGUUGCAAAUGCGCACAAGACUCGCAAAAGCAAGCUUAGAGUCAUUGCAAAAGCGACAGUUUGUGUCGCAAAUGUGGAAGUUGCCUAAUCGCAAAAGUGAUGAAAUUGUUCGCAAAUGCGAACUCCUCUGCCCCAGACCAUCGUCGCAAAAGUGAGAGUGAUCUCGCAAGUGCGAUAAAACCUCGCAAAUGCUAGAACAACAGCAAAGCUGAGCCUUCUUCCAAUCACUCUGAAAUGCGUCCGAACCCCAUCCGAGCCCUCGAGGAUCUAAACCAAACAUCCACACCAGUCCAAAAAUAUAACACUCGCUCGCGCGAUCAAAACACCAAAAUAACUUCUAGAAUCACGAAUCGGAUGCCAAAACGCAUGAAAAUCACAAUGAACUUCAAGAACUUCUAGAAUCGCAACCAAGCAUCCGAACCAUAUCAAAUCAAAUCCAAAUAACACCAAAUUUUGUAUGCAAGUUCCAUAUGACGAAACGGACCUACUCCAAGUCUCAAAACCAAAUCCGAACCUGAUAGCCUUAAAGUCAAACUAUGGUCAGACAUAGGAAAUUUCUAAACCUUUAAAUUGCCAACUUCCGACAAAUGAUGCCGAAACCUUUUAGAAAUAUCCAAAUGCAAAUUCAGGCAUAUGACCAAGUCUAAAAUCACUAUCCAGACCAACUAGAACCAUCGAAACUCCAAUCCGACGUCAAUUACUUAAAAGUCAAACCUUGGUCGAUUCUUCAACUUCGAGCUUCUCAAAUGAGAGUCGCUCCUUAAAAUCAUUUUCGAACCUCCCAAAAACUUGAGCCGAUGAUGCACAUAGGUUAUAAUACACUAUGUGAAGCAAUUCAUAGCCUCACAAUGCCAAACUAGAUGCAGUUUCUCAGAAUGACCAGUCAUGUCAUUUCAUUCUCCCCUGCUUAAACAUAUGUUCGUUGUCGAACGUGCCAAGAGUCAUUCCAAAGUUAUAAAAUCACUGGAUGAGCUCAUUAUACAUGCACCCGAGGAUGAUUCCACAUCACGCCAAUCCACGUAGGCCUUAACUGAAGAUCUCACUUCAUCCUUAGUCCAUAACCUUAGGACAGAACCCCAAUCCUCAACAUCUGAAACUCAUCAUAGGGUCUGAAUCUCGCAUCAAUAGAUUGUAUAUUCCUGAACAAUCCCAACCGAGGAUACAAUCACAUGAUGUUCCACAUAACUCAAAUGCCCGCAGCAAUAACUUCCGACCACCAUAGCUAUCUAAUAACAAUCUUGGUAUCCGUAAUACACUUUAUAUCGAAUGAAACUUUGUUCAGGACCUCCACAACGCUGCCCAUGAUAAAAGAACAUGAGAAACUCAUAACCUCCCAUGAAAUCAACAAGCCAAGAAGCUCUCUUGUUCGUCAAGGGCCAUUGCCCAAAUUCUGAGCGAAAAUAACAUCUUUCUUUCAAACACUCCUCAUCCCGAUAUAAUAUUGCAACUCUCCGGUCUAGAAACCUCAUCUCAGCCAAUACAAGCAGCCCAACUGACAACUCAUCCCGAGACCACAAGGAUUCUCACUCAACAUAGUUUGUAUAACAAACCAGCAAUAACUCAAAUAUGCAGCAAAAAUAGAUGGAAAGUAAGGUAUGAGGACUAUCUAACAAGUACAACAGAUAUAACAGCAAAAGUAUAAUUUCAUUAACUCAUCUCAUAGAGGAAAACAACACACUAAAAAAACACAAGGAAAGGGUAUCCCACAUAAAAGCCACUGCAGUGUACAGUCUGAUCCCAAAUAUACCAAUCCAUAUAGGGAUACCCAUCGAACUAAAGUGCUCGUGUUCACUGAUCACAUGAAUGCUGAUAUCAAGCAUCAUAGAGUGCACAAGUAUAACUAUGGGAAAAUGAAUAGAAAUAAUCAACAUGGAGAAAAGCAAGCACAAUUAAGGUGCAAUGAGCAAAUCAAUAUCACGAUGGCCAUUUUGCCCACAUCGCCAUAAGGCCUGAACGGGACUACAACAUGCGUGAGAAUAAACAUACAACCUCACAACCCAUCAUAGCAUAAGAGAAGAGCACAUAACAUAGACUAGUCACAAAUAAUAUCCAUUUUGCCCGGUAACAUAACCGUGAUAUCAACUUCACAAGAGUACCCAAACCUGAUCCGAUAUAAAAUACACAUUCUCAUUGGGCUUUUAAAUAGCCCCCAAACAAAUUCUGAUCAUUCCUAGGCAGGUAAAUAACCUUCCAAAAGUCUAUAGAAAUCUAUCCAUAACAUACGCCAUUAGUUAUCCCAUUCUCAACAUUGCUUCACAAUCCACAAUCAAGGAAUAGUCCAACUACAAGGACAUCCACUCCCGAAACCUCAUGAAUACCAAAACUUCCAUACUCAAUCUCAACUACAACCAAAACAACACACCCAGUAUUAUCCCACACCGUAGGCUAUGAGAGGGUAGUGUGUACGCAAACCUUACCCUUGUGAGGAUAAAGAGGUUGUUUCCAAUAGACCCUCGGCUCAGGAAAGCAUAAACACCACAUUAAUACAAAUAUAAACAAGAAGGGACAGUACCAAAAAUCCAUAUAAAAACAACAAGAUAGUAAGGUAAUCAACAAUGAAAGGAAAUAGUGAUUAUCAUAAAAACCUACGACCCACAGAAAGCGAGUCUGCAUGCCAAUUCUACUGUUAUGAACACUCUAGAUUGCCUACUCUACAACCCUAAUCCUCGACCUCCAUACCUUCCUAUCAAGGGUCAUGUCCUCGGUUAGCUAAAGCUGCGCCAUGUCUUGACUAAUCACCUCUCCCCACCUCUUCUUUGGCCUACCUCUACUUCUCCGUAGGCCCUCCAAUGUCAAACUCUCACACCUCCUCAUCGGGGCAUUUGUGGUCCUCCUCCUUACAUGACCAAACCACCUAAGCUGCGCUUCCCGCAUCUUGUCCUCAAUAGGGGCAACACCCACUUUGUCACGAAUAAUAUCAUUUCUAAUCCUAUCUAGUUUGGUGUGCCUGCACAUCCAUCUCAACAUCCUCAUCUAUACUACCUUCAUCUUCUGGACAUGAGCGAUCUUGACUGGCCAACACUUAGCCCUAUACAACAUUGUUGGUUUGACCACCACUCUGUAGAACUUACCCUUUAGUUUUGGUGGCCUCUUCUUGUCACAACAAAACACCAGAUCCUCCCCAACACGAUGUGUGACAUCGUCAUCAAUCUCCCUAACCCCCUAGUAGACCCAAGGUACUUAAAACUCCCUCUUCUAGGGAUGACCUGCGAGUCCAUCCUCACCUCCCCUUCCCCCCUUGAGUCUCACCAUUGAACUUACACUCCAAGUAUUCUAUCGUGGUCCCGCUCAAUUUGAAACCUUUAGAUUCUAGGUUCUGACUCCAUACCUCUAAUUACGCGUUCACACCAUCUCCAUACCUCUAACCUUUAGAUUUUAGGUUUUGAGAAAGUUGUAGAAUUAUGAAAAAUCUCGUCUAAAAUCCCACUUAACAGGUCGCAGAUAUUGCAAUUGCAACUUGAGCUUCGCAUUCGUGAAGCUCGCAAUUGCGAGAAGGGCAUCGCAAAUGCUAACCCUCACAAUCUCUUUUUCGUUCGCAUUUGCGACAAAUAGGUCAUAUUUGCGACUAUUGAGAACUUCGCAUUUGCGAAGAAAUGCUCGCAAAUGCGAACAAGGCUGGCCAGGGCAUUCAUCGCAAUUGUGAUCAUCCUCAUCGCAAUUACCAAGACUGACAGGCUUUGCAAUUGCGAAUCCUAACCUUGCAAUUGCGAGAUCAGAGCCUGCAACAAAUACUAGAUUGAAAAUCAGAAAUUUCCUAAGUCCAAUUCACCCCGUGGCCUAUCCAAAACUCACCCGAGCCCUUGGGGCUCCAAACCAAACAUGCACGCAAGUCUAAAAAUAUCAUACGGACUUGCUUGUGUGAUCAAAUCAUAAAAAUAACAUCAACAACUACAAAUUUAACCCCAAAUUCAUGAAAUUCUUGAAGAACAUUGAAAUUUACAUUUUCUCAACUAAAGGCCCGAUUUAUACCAAAUCAACUCCGAUUCUUACCAAAUUUUAUAGAUUCGACUUAAUUAUUAUAUUAAACCUGUACCAGGCUCCGGAACCAAGAUAUCAUUUCACUUCUAAAAGCCUUUAUAUUUUCUAGCAAAUAAUUUUCUUUAAAAAUUCUUUUCUCGGGCUAGGGACAUCCGAAUUUGAUUCCGGGCAUACACCCAAGUCCCAUAUUUUACUACGGACCCUACGGGACUGUCAGAUCACGGGUCCGGGUCCUUUAUUAAGAAUGUUGAACAAAAUCAACUUUAAUCAAUUUUAAAGGCCAAAUUUAUUAUUUUUCUUAAAUUUCACAUAAAAGCUUUCCGAAAACGCGCCCGGAUUGUGCAUGCAAAUCGAGGUGAGAAAAAGAGGUUUCUAAGGCCUCGGACAUGGUUUUGACUUCUAAAAUAAGAGAUGACCUUUCGGGUCAUCACAUUCUCCACCUCUAAAACAACCGUUCGCCAUCGAACAGAUAUAGAAAAGUACCUGAGUCGGUGAAAAGAUGAGGAUAACGGCUCUGCAUAUCGGACUCGAACUCCCAGGUCGCUGCCUCAAUAGGCUGACCUCUCCACUACACACGAACUGAAGGGAAAUUCUUCGAUCUCAACUGAUGAACCUACCAGUCUAGAAUGGCUACUGACUCCUCCUCAUAGAUCAAGUCCUUGUCGAACUGGACAGUGAAGUCUAACACGUGGGAUGGAUCACCGUGAUACUUCCGAAGCAUGGACACAUGAAACAAUGAGUGCACAACUAAUAAACUCGACGGAAACGCAAGUCUGUAAGCCACCUCUCCCACUCGAUCAAGAAUCUCAAAAGGAUCGAUGAAUCUAGGGCUUAGCUUGCCCUUCUUCCCAAAUCUCAUUACGCCCUUCAUGGGCGACACCCGAAGCAACACUCGCUCUCCGAUCAUGAAUGCCACAUUCCGAACCUUGCGGUUGGCGUAACUCUUUUUCCUGGACUGAGCUGUAUGAAGCCUAUCCUGAAUGAUCUUAACCUUAUCCAAGGUAUCCUAUACUAGAUCUGUACCCAACAACUGAGCCUUUCCCAGCUCAAACCAUCCUACCAGCGACCGACACCACCUACCAUAUAAUGCCUCAUAGGGAGCCAUCUGGAUGCUCAACUGGUAACUGUUGUUGUAGGCAAACUCUACUAAUGGCAAUAACUGAUCCCACAAACCUCCAAAGUCAAUAAAACAUGCUCAGAGCAUAUCCUCCAAAAUUUGAAUAGAGCGCUCAGACUGUCCGUCUGUCUGAGGAUGAAAUGUUGUGCUCAACUCGACCCGUGUGCCCAACUCACACUGAACUGCUUUCCAGAAAUAUGAGGUAAACUGCGUACCUCGGUCAGAAAUGAUAGACACGAGCACACCAUGAAGACGAACGAUCUCAUGGAUAUAGAUCUCUGCCAACCACUCUGAAGAAUAAAAAACUGCUACAGGAAUGAAAUGCGCUGACUUGGUCAGCCUAUCAAUAAUAACCCAUACCGCAUCGAACUUCCUCUGAGUCUGUGGGAGUCUAACAAUGAAAUCAAUAGUGAUAUGCUCCCAUUUCCACUCAGGAAUCUCAAUCUUCUGAAACAAACCACCAGGUCUCUGAUGCUCGUACUUUACCUGCGGACAAUUCAAACACCGAGCUACAUAUGCUACAAUAUAUUUCUUUAUCCUCCUCCACUAAUAAUGCUGCCGCAAAUCCUGAUACAUCUUAGCGGCGCCCCGAUGAAUAGAGUACCCGAAACUAUGGGCCUCCUCUAGAAUCAACUCAUGAAGUCCAUCCACAUUAGGUACACAAAUACGACCCUGCAUCCUCAAAACUCCAUCAUCUCCAAAUGUAACCUACUUGGCACCCCCGUACCGCACCGUGUCCCUAAGGACAAGAAAAUGAGGAUUAUCAUAUUGCCGAUCUCUGAUACACUUAAAUAAUGAAGAAUGAGCGACUGUGCAAGCGAGCACACGACUGGGCUCAGAAAUAUCCAACCUCACAAACUGAUUGGCUAAAGCCUGAACGUCCAAAGCAAGCGGUCUCUCACCGACUGGAAUAUAUGCAAGGCUACCCAUACUGGCGGACUUCCUACUUAAAGCAUCAACCACUACAUUAACUUCCCCAGGUGAUACAAGAUGGUGAAAUCAUAGUCUUUCAAUAGCUCCAACCACCUCCUCUGCCUCAAAUUUAGCUCCUUCUACUUGAAUAAGUAUUGCAAACUCUUGUGAUCCGUGAACACCUCACACGACACGCCAUAUAAAUAAUGCCUCCAAAUCUUCAGCGCGUGAACAAUGGCUGCUAGCUCCAAAUCAUGAACUAGAUAAUUCUUCUCGUGGAUCUUCAACUGUCGCGAAGCACAUGAAAUAACCUUGCCAAUUUGCAUCAACACCACACCAAGUCCAAUACGAGAUGCAUCACAAUAUACUAUAUAUGGCCCUGAACCUGUAGGCAAUACCAACACCGGUGCCAUAGUCAAAGCUGUCUUGAGCUUCUGAAAGCUCGUCUCACACUCGUCCGACCACCUGAACUGGGCACCCUUUUGGGUCAACCUAGUCAUCGGGGCUGCAAUAGAUGAAAACCCCUCCAUGAACUGAUGGUAAUAGGCCACCAAACCCAAGAAACUCCGGAGCUCUAUGGUUGAUAUGGGUUUAGGCCAGUCAUUGACUGCUGCAAUCUUCUUAGGAUCCACCUGAAUACCCUCUGCUGAUACAACAUGACCCAAUAAUGCAACCGAGCUAAACCAAAACUCACAUUUCAAAAACUUAGCAUAUAGUUGACUGUCCCUCAGAGUCUAGAGAACAACUCGAAUAUGCUGCUCAUGCUCCUCCCGACUGCGGGAAUAGAUCAAAAUAUCAUCAACGAAGACAAUCAUGAAGGAAUCCAAAUAAGUCUUGAACACUCGGUUCAUCAAAUCCAUGAAAGCUGCUGGGGCAUUUGUCAACCCAAAUGACAUCACUAAGAACUCAUAAUGCCCGUACCGAGUGCGAAAAGCUAUCUUAGGGACAUCGGAUUCCCUAAUCCUCAACUGAUGGUAGCCAGAUCUCAAAUCAAUCUUCGAAAACACUUUGGCAUCCUGAAGCUGGUCAAAUAAAUCAUCAAUCCUCGGCAAUGGAUACUUGUGCUUGAUGGUGACUUUGUUCAACUGCCGAUAAUCUAUGCACAUCCUCAUCUAUCCAUUCUUCUUCUUAAUAAAUAAAACCAGCGCACCCCAAAGCGAGAUACUAGGUCUAAUAUAGCCUUUAUAAAGCAAGUCUUGCAACUGUUCUUUCAAUUCUUUCAACUCUGGCGGGGUCAUACGAUAUGGCAGAAUAGAAAUGGGCUGAGUGCCCGGAGCCAAAUAAAUGCAAAAGUCAAUAUCCCUAUCGGGUGGCAUCCCCGACAAGUCUAAAAGAAAUACCUCAGGAAACUCAUGAACAAUGGGCACAGAAUCCAUAGAAGGAACCUCAACACCGGAAUCGCGAACAUACGCCAAAUAGGCCAAACAUCCCUUAUCAACCAUGUGCCGAGCCUUCAUAUAUGAGAUAACCCUGCUGGUAGAAUGACCAAGAGUCCCUCUCCACUACAAACGAGGCAACCCCAACAAUGACAAGGUCAUGGUCUUGGCAUGACAGUCGAAUACAACAUGAUAAGGGGAUAACUAGUCCAUCCCCAAAAUGACAUCGAAGUCUACCAUAUCGAGAAGUAGAAGAUCCACACGGGUCUCAAGACCCCCAAUAAUAACCACACAUGAGCGAUAGACUCGAUCUACAAUAAUAGAAUUACCCACUGGUGUAUACAUAUAUACAGGUGCACUCAAAGAAUCACGAGGCACAACCAGAUAAGGGGUAAAAUAAGAUGACACAGGAAUAUGUAGACCCAGGAUCAAAUAGAACUUAAGCAUCUCUAUGCAAACUGAAACCAUACCUAUGAUAACUGCAUCGGAGGCCUCAGCCUCAGGUCUGGCUGAAAUAGCAUAACAUCAGGGUUGGGCCCCACCACUCUGAACUACAUCCAGAGGACAGCCUCCUGUUGGCUGGCCUCCACGUCUAGCUUCCUAACCUCCACCUCUAAUGGCCUGACCUCUAACCACUAAUGCCUCAACCCCUAUCUCUAGUUGGUUGAGCGGGCAGUGGAACAGUCGGUGCCUGAACUAUGGCACGGGAACCCUGAUGCUGAGAGCUACUCAGUGCUCGAGGGCAAAAUCUAGCAAUAUGCCUCGUAUCGCCACAAGUAUAACAAGCCCUUGGUUGUUGGGAUUGCUGACCCUGAUGGCCUGAGUAACCACUGUCAUACCUCCUUUUUACCUACACCCCGUAAAGGGUAUAAAUACAAGGGAGUUUUUCCAAUUAAAGGACAAUCGAAACAAGAUCAUUUAUUUAUUAAAAAUCAGAGUCGCCACUUGGAAAAUUUAUGGUGUCCCAAGUCACCGGUUUAAAACCCGAAUCGAGGAAAUUUGACUCUAUUAUCGGUCCGCAAACACAGAAAUCCGGGUAAGGAAUUCUGUUAACCCGGGAGAAGGUAUUAGGCAUUCCCGAGUUCCGUGGUUCUAGCACGGUCACUUUGAUCAUACUUGACUUAUUAAAAUUAUUUAAUUACUCAUUUUUAGAACCUAUGUGAAUUUACCUUUUACCGCUUUUAAAUUAAGAAAAUUAUCUUGAAAUGGGUCACGCAUACGUGUACCCAUUUGUUUAGCGCGUUAAAAAUCAUGUCACGCGAACAUGUCCACAAUUAAUAACGCUUUAUUAUUAUUAAGAAUGUUCGGGCCAAAGUUGCGUGAACGCAUGCUCUGGUUUUAUUUUUAGAAAUCAUAAUCAUGUCACGCGAACGUGUCCACAACCACAAUAGUAUUUUAAACGGUCCUAAAGGCUUUUCUACGAACAUUCAACAAUUAUUCCUAAAACCGAGUUGGGAUUGUUAAGGACAAGAGUUACGGGUAACUACACUGUGAAAAGCAAAGCAAAUAAGUUAUAAAAUUAGGUUAACUCAAGGCAUCAGGGAUAAGCGGCCCAGAAGUAUUAACGUGGAGAGGGGCCUGACAGCUCAUUUGUUAGUCCCAUAUUCUUUUGCUUGAAAUUAUCCCUUUAAGUUUGGCCACAUAACCAGCUCAAAGAUCCAAACGGGCUGGACAUAAUCCCAAGAAUCAGCACAAAUCAUUGUCCAAAACCUGACUUCUUAAAGCCCAAAGUUAUUUCUCCAAUAAUUUAUUUGAAACACCCUCGUAAAGAAUCAUACAACAGGGUAUACAUUAGAAUUAGACUAACGAUUAAAUUAUGAAGAUUAAAAGUUAAGCUACAAUCUAAAUCCAACAAACUUUAGCACAAUAAAAACUUUUAAUACUAAAGGCAAAUGGAUCUAAAAGUCUCGAUAUAAGAACGGACAAAGACAACAAAACAAAGCUGCAACUUUAAGUUGGACAUCAUAAUCAUUCACCCAUCAAAAGUGACUAAGCCAAACAUACAAUUUAGCUCAACUUUAGGUCAUUCACUAUGGCAGAUUCAGAAGUUGUAGACUACAGGUUUAAGACGGGUCCAACCUAUAGGCAGCAGAAUUAGUGAAUUCUAUUUCGAAAUCAUGCAUAAAUCGUAUUACAAGCACACUACGAAAGAUUGACUACCUAAGCUAUUGAGUCCUCAAAUUUCCACAUUGUGCAAAGACUUGGAAUCGAAGUAAGACCACUGAAUUUCAUAAGCGGAAAAAGUAGCAAGCAAAUUGAGAAGACCAAAGUAUUCCAUCUCUAAUAAUCCAUCGUCAAUAACAUGAAAAAGUAACGUAAGACUUUUGAAGUGGGUAGCUCCAAUUACUAGUGACUAAGCAAGAACCAAACCCCUGUUGAAACAUAUAAAAUGGCGCUGAAAGCUAGCUGGUAAAUAAUUCACUUAAUGCCCCGCCAAAAUACCAAUUAGGUUCAGCAAACCUCAAACUACUAUAGUAGCAAAAUUCUGGUGCUUCAAUCAAUCAACUCGCAAGUAACUAUCAUUUUGUCAAUAUAUGCUAGAGUAAUUUCUAAACAAAUCCAUUCAACAAAUUACCAGGGAAACACAAAACACCAGAACACAGGGAGAGGGAGAGGACAAUACUGAAUCUGCAGAUUCAAUAAAGAAACUCAUUUUUAAACAAACUUGCCAAACAUCCAAAACUGUUGCUAAGAACUCUAAGUUCUAUCUCUUUGAGAUUUAGAAGAAUAUGGAGAACUCAAAGCCAAUGGUAAUCUAAAACUAACUUCCACUAAUCUUAAUAAACCACAGAAACCAAGUCAUGAUAAUUAACUUGUUGCAAAUAUGACGAACUCAUUUUGCUUAAAAGUACUUUUAUAGGACUAACGAAACAAAUUUAAACCUCAUUUCCUACUAAAAACUAUACGAGGCAAUAUGGGCAGAAUACUACCUCAUUUUCAUGGAGUGUGUCAAACAAUGAAACAUAGAUUCACCCCAAUCAGGUCGAAUUUACACUCAUUUAAUACUACCAAACUAAUCGUAGAAAUUGGAGAAGAAGCGGACAACCAAAUUAAAGGAAAAAAACUAAACGAUAAAAAAUCGCAAACACACAGAUUACAUGGAAAAAUAGAAAAAGGAAUAAGGUAAAGAACCUGUUAAUUUGGAAUUUUUUCACUAAUAACUGAAAAUUACAUUGUCUUGCUCCAAAAUACCACUCAGGCAGUAACAAUAUCGAGUGGAAAUUGCAAACCAAAAUCCGAAUCGCAAAAAAUAACUCGGACAAAACUCGGACAACACCAAGCGACCCACAGAACAACAAACAAUUUCAAACAAACUCCAUCACAAGCAAGAUUGUGUCACGACCCAAUUCCCGAACCUGGUCGUGAUGACACCUCUCAUGAAGACAAGGCCAGCCAUUCAACCCAAUUCACCCUUUUAAGACAAUUAAUAAACACAAUUAUAGUAUAAACAUGGUUUAAUAAUAUCCAAUAGCGGAAAAUAUUGAUAAAAUACGGAAAUCCAACCCAACUCAGCCCUAACCGGGGUGUCACAAGUCAUGAGCUACUACAGAGUUUACUAAAAUUCUACAAAGUAUGGAAUUAGAAACGACAUCUGAAGAUAUCAUAAAUAUAGAAAAUAAGGGAGAAAACAGGUCUGCGAACGCCAUACAGCUACCUCGAUAACUCCGAUGAAAACUGAACAGCAGAAAACUCGCUCUAUGCCUCAGGAAUACCUGUACCUGCACACAUGGUGCAGGGAGUAAUAUGAGUACUCCGACCCAGUGAGUAAUAAAUAUAAAUAAUAACUGAAGGUAAGAAAACACGUUAAGUCACACAACACUCUAUACAGAAGCAGUAAAAUCAUUUAAAAUAACAAUUCAGUGAAACAUCAUGUGAAAUUUCUUUUAAACCAGUAAAAAAAGAUAAUUUGGCAGUAAAAUGACGAGUAGAAAUUUGCCUUUCGGGCUCAAUAUCAAAACAACAAGUAGAAAUCUGCCCCUCGGGCUCAGUAUCAAAAUAAUAAGUAGAAAUCUGCCCCUCGGGCUCAGUAUCAAAAUAAUAAGUAGAAAUCUGCCCCUCGGGCUCAGUAUCUCAGAACAGUAUCAGCCCAUCGGGCUCAGUAUCUCAGAACAGUAUCAGCCCAUCAGGCUCAGAACAGUAUGAAGCAACCAGUCAAU
rnacentral:lncRNA from 1 species